rnacentral:tRNA from 1 species
AGAUUGAAUGGUUAAAUG